GGAGAGGAGAAAGAGAUGAGGAGUGGAGAGGAGAGGAGAAAGAGAUGAGCUGUGGAGAGGAGAAAGAGAUGAGGGGUGGAGAGGAGAGGAGAAAGAGAUGAGGGGUAGAGAGGAGAAAGCGAUGAGGGGAGGAGAGGAGAAAGAGAUGAGCUGUGGAGAGGAGAAAGAGAUGAGGGGUAGAGAGGAGAAAGCAAUGAGGGAUGGAGAGGAGAAAGAGAUGAGCUGUGGAGAGGAGAGGAGAAAGCAAUGAGCUGUGGAGAGGAGAAAGAGAUGAGGGGUAGAGAGGAGAAAGAGAUGAGCUGUGGAGAGGAGAAAGAGAUGAGCUGUGGAGAGGAGAGGAGAAAGAGAUGAGGGGUAGAGAGGAGAAAGCGAUGAGGGGUGGAGAGGAGAGGAGAAAGAGAUGAGCUGUGGAGA
ensembl:lncRNA